UACGUAGGGCGCAAGCGUUGUCCGGAAUUAUUGGGCGUAAAGAGCUCGUAGGCGGCCUGUUGCGUCCGCUGUGAAAUCCCGGGGCUUAACCCCGGGCCUGCAGUGGAUACGGGCUGGCUAGAGGCAGGCAGGGGAGAACGGAAUUCCUGGUGUAGCGGUGAAAUGCGCAGAUAUCAGGAGGAACACCGGUGGCGAAGGCGGUUCUCUGGGACGGUACUGACGCUGAGACGCGAAAGCGUGGGGAGCGAACAGG
rnacentral:rRNA from 1 species